rnacentral:rRNA from 1 species
UGCUAGUUCACUCAGGUUUGAGGAUUGACUUUAUGUCUGUCCUUGCAUUUCCAGGCCUAUGUUCUUCAUAUACCCCCAAUGUAUGUUAUAGAAUGUAAUCAUUAGGCCUCUUUGUGCCUAUAAAUCUUAUACAACUUUCAGCAACGGAUCUCUUGGCUCUCGCAUCGAUGAAGAACGCAGCGAAAUGCGAUAAGUAAUGUGAAUUGCAGAAUUCAGUGAAUCAUCGAAUCUUUGAACGCACCUUGCGCUCCUUGGUAUUCCGAGGAGCAUGCCUGUUUGAGUGUCAUUAAUAUAUCAAUCUCUUCAGCUUUUGCUUGUUGAGCAUUUGGAUGUGGGGGUUGCUGGUCUUUCUCAGAUCAGCUCCCCUGAAAUGCAUUAGCAGAACAAUUUGUGGAACUGUUCAUUGGUGUGAUAACUAUCUACGCUAUUGACGUGAAGCAGGUUCAGCUUCUAACAGUCCAUUGACUUGGACAAAAUUUUCAUUAAUGUGACCUCAAAUCAGGUA